UUGUAGUAUAUUCAAGGAUUGUCCAUUAUGAGAAAAGGAAAUUAAAAGAAACUAUAUUAGUGAUGAUAUUGUUAUAGAGUUCUGACAAAAUAAAUCAAUCCGUAAUGUAGCAUUUAAAAUGACAGGCUUUAAAGUGACAUUAACAUUGGGAGAAUGGGAAUGAAACAGUUAUGCUUCUGUGUGUUCAAGUAUUUUCAGGAAAUGUGAGUGUCAAAGCUAUAGAAGAGAGUACCAGAAUUAUUUAUAUUUUUAAAUGUUCAAAAUAAGCAACACUCUAGGGAUGUAAAAUGUUCUAGGAGAAUUCACAAAAUACUGUUCAAAGCAGGACUGAUCUGAAGACUGGAUACCAGCUGGUGAUGAUAUUAAAAAUCAACAGUAACUAUUACAGAUGUGGAGCAGCUGCAGAUGGUGGAGCAUCACUUCUGGGUUCAAGGAACAAGCAUUAACUGGUGGGAUCACAUUGUCAUGCAGGUUUGGGACGAUGAGCAGUGGCUGCAGAAUUUUUGGAUGCACAGGGCCACAUUCCUGGAUCUGUGUGCUGAACUCAACCCAGCCCUCCAGCACAGGGACACCAAAAUGAGAGCUACACUGACAGUGAAGAAGGACUGUGGCUCUUGGCAAUGUGCAGGAUAUAGGGGACGCCUUUGCAGCUACCUAAGUCCAUCAACCAUGGCUCUAUGCUGCUCGGGAAAGUGGUGUUACUGUCUCAGUAUAAUGGGGCACUUACAGCAGUGGGAGACCAAUUUCAGCAUAGGCAUGCACAACUUUGUCAUGUAGACUAGGUCUUAUUAAUUUGGAACCUGUCUGUUUUAUUGGUAUCUUACCUAUAACAUUCUGCUUUCCCUUUGAUAAAGUUUCUACCUGUUUGAGAAGGUUGCAAAUGAAACAACUUUUAGUUCUUGAAAGUGAAGGAAUUUUCUGAUGACACUGAAACCUCCCAGGAAAUUUAUUUGAGUAUGUUUGUAAUAAACUACCCUUACCUAUAGACUUCCUCAGCCUAGAUGAAUGUGGUUCAGUUGUGAAUAGGCUUGUUUAAUAUUCAUUAAAUUCUAAAUAGCUCAUUUUAAUGUAUCUAUUUAGCUAGUGAAUAAUUCAUUUAUUUAUCAGAAGCCCAGUGCUGUCACUUACAGCAUAGGCCUCUAGUAAUAUUAAAAGGCAUUUGAACCGAGGGAGACUCUUAGGCACAGAAGGCAACUGAAACACUAUGUAGUAGUCAGUCAGCUUUCCAUCCCCAAGAGCGUAGGUUUAUGUUGAGGUGAUUUUUUUUUUUUAACAAAAGUCUUGUAAAAGUAAAUCUUCAACUCUGCUUUAGUACAAUCAAGUGUUUCCAUAUUUUUUAUUAAAGCUGAUGUCAGUAUAGUUACUUUAAUUUGUUUCGCUUAUAAAACAAAAGUCUCUGGCACUUCUGAGGCACUUGAUCCUCUCUAGGCAAUCAUUAGUAGCA